rnacentral:rRNA from 1 species
UACGAAGGGGGCUAGCGUUGUUCGGAAUUACUGGGCGUAAAGCGCACGUAGGCGGACAUUUAAGUCAGGGGUGAAAUCCCAGAGCUCAACUCUGGAACUGCCUUUGAUACUGGGUGUCUUGAGUAUGGAAGAGGUGAGUGGAAUUCCGAGUGUAGAGGUGAAAUUCGUAGAUAUUCGCAAGAACACCAGUGGCGAAGGCGGCUCACUGGCCCGAUACUGACGCUGAGGCACGAAAGCGUGGGGAGCAAACAGG